CCUACGGGAGGCUGCAGUGGGGAAUAUUGGACAAUGGGGGCAACCCUGAUCCAGCCAUGCCGCGUGUGUGAAGAAGGCCCUCGGGUUGUAAAGCACUUUCAGUGAGGAAGAACGCCUGGUGGUUAAUACCCAUCAGGAAAGACAUCACUCACAGAAGAAGCACCGGCUAACUCCGUGCCAGCAGCCACGGUAAUACGGAGGGUGCGAGCGUUAAUCGGAAUUACUGGGCGUAAAGCGCGCGUAGGUGGCUUGAUAAGCCGGUUGUGAAAGCCCCGGGCUCAACCUGGGAACGGCAUCCGGAACUGUCAAGCUAGAGUGCAGGAGAGGAAGGUAGAAUUCCCGGUGUAGCGGUGAAAUGCGUAGAGAUCGGGAGGAAUACCAGUGGCGAAGGCGGCCUUCUGGACUGACACUGACACUGAGGUGCGAAAGCGUGGGUAGCAAACAGGAUUAGAUACCCGAGUAGUC
rnacentral:rRNA from 1 species